rnacentral:lncRNA from 1 species
AUGGAUAAUGACAAUAAAGAUAGGUGCUAUGCAUGAGUACAUGUACACUGCCAACGACAUGUUGAUUCAUCCAUAAGUGUUGUGAGGUGAUCAGAGUCACACAGUGCAUGUGAUGCAUGAUGGGCAGUCAAUCUAUGAUCAUUAUUUAAUAAUGAUCGAAGACAUUAAAGAGCUUAAAAGGCUCAACAUGACCAUGCAUAAGGAAUUGCUUAUGAAUUUGAUUCUGUGAUCCCUGAUUAGUUUAUAUGGAUAGUUUAUGGUAAACUACCAUAUGAA